CUUGUGGCUACUUGCGCAAUGGCCGAAGGCUGACGCAGCGACGCCGCGUGGAGGACGAUCUCCGCUAGGACGUAAACUCCCCCUGCAGGGGAAGACCUCCCCUCCUGGGGGAAGUGACGGUACUCUGCGACUAAGGAUCGGCUAACUACGUGCCAGCAGCCGCGGUACUACGUAGGCUCCGAGCGUUGUCCGGACCACUGGGUGUAAAGGGCGUGUAGGUGGAUCUCUAACUCGAUGGUGAAAUCCUGUAGCUUAACUGUAGAACUGCCGUCGAUACUGAAGCUCUUUGAGUACGGCAGAGGGAGAUGGAAUUCAUGGUGUAGCGGUGAAAUGUGUAGAUAUCAUGAAGAACACCGGUCGCGAAGGCGGUCUCCUGGUCCGUUUCUGACACUGAGGCGCGAAAGCGUGGGGAGCAAACAGGAUAGAUCCCUGGUAGUCCACGCCUUAAACGAGGGUCUCCGUUGUUGGCCCCGCUCGGUGCUUGCUUCGGCGAGCUUCGGGCCGGGGCCAGUGCCAAAGCUAACGCAUUAAGUACCUCC
rnacentral:rRNA from 1 species